rfam:Felis catus isolate Cinnamon breed Abyssinian chromosome F2, whole genome shotgun sequence.
GCCUGGGUGGCUCAGUCGGUUAAGCGUCCGACUUCAACUUAGGUCACGAUCUCGCGGUCUGUGAGUUCGAGCCCCACCUCGGGCU